CCCCUAGAUGUUCUGGGCCGCACGCGCGCUACACUGAACAGUUCAACAAGUCUUAACCUUGGCCGAUAGGUCUGGGUAAUCUUUGAACGCUGUUCGUGAUUGGGAUAGACCUUUGCAAUUAUGGGUCUUCAACGAGGAAUUCCUAGUAAACGCAAGUCAUCAGCUUGCAUUGAUUACGUCCCUGCCCUUUGUACACACCGCCCGUCGCUCCUACCGAUUGAAUGAUCCGGUGAGCUUUUUGGACUGUGGUCACGGCUUUGGUUCGCCAAACUGAGGCCGCGGGAAGAUGCGCAAACCUUAUCAUUUAGAGGAAGGAGAAGUCGUAACA
rnacentral:rRNA from 1 species